rnacentral:rRNA from 1 species
GGAAGUUACCAGUCGUAACAAGGUUUCCGUAGGUGAACCUGCGGAAGGAUCAUUA